GAUGAACGCUGGCGGCGUGCUUAACACAUGCAAGUCGAACGGUGAAGCCAAGCUUGCUUGGUGGAUCAGUGGCGAACGGGUGAGUAACACGUGAGCAACCUGCCCUGGACUCUGGGAUAAGCGCUGGAAACGGUGUCUAAUACUGGAUAUGAGACGUGAUCGCAUGGUCGUGUUUGGAAAGAUUUUUCGGUCUGGGAUGGGCUCGCGGCCUAUCAGCUUGUUGGUGAGGUAAUGGCUCACCAAGGCGUCGACGGGUAGCCGGCCUGAGAGGGUGACCGGCCACACUGGGACUGAGACACGGCCCAGACUCCUACGGGAGGCAGCAGUGGGGAAUAUUGCACAAUGGGCGAAAGCCUGAUGCAGCAACGCCGCGUGAGGGAUGACGGCCUUCGGGUUGUAAACCUCUUUUAGCAGGGAAGAAGCGAAAGUGACGGUACCUGCAGAAAAAGCGCCGGCUAACUACGUACCAGCAGCCGCCGUAA
rnacentral:rRNA from 1 species